GUAGGUGGCAAGCGUUGUCCGGGAAUUAUUGGGGCGUAAAGCGCGCGCAGGCGGUUCUUUAAGUCUGAUGUGAAAGCCCACGGGCUCAACCGUGGAGGGUCAUUGGAAACUGGAGAACUUGAGUACAGAAGAGGAAAGCGGAAUUCCACGUGUAGCGGUGAAAUGCGUAGAGAUGUGGAGGAACACCAGUGGCGAAGGCGGCUUUCUGGUCUGUAACUGACGCUGAGGCGCGAAAGCGUGGGGAGCAAACAGGAUUAGAUACCCUGGUAGUCCACGCCGUAAACGAUGAGUGCUAAGUGUUAGGGGGUUUCCGCCCCUUAGUGCUGCAGCUAACGCAUUAAGCACUCCGCCUGGGGAGUACGGCCGCGAGGCUG
rnacentral:rRNA from 1 species